GUCAGACAUCUUCUGAGUUUCUUUCCUCGGCCGUUUCUCUGGCAAUUCACUUCUGUUCACUCGGAGCUGGUGGAUGUGCUCCAUGUACUCUGCGGUGAUGCCACAG